UAGGGAAUCUUCCGCAAUGGACGCAAGUCUGACGGAGCAACGCCGCGUGAGUGAAGAAGGAUUUCGGUUCGUAAAACUCUGUUGUUAGAGAAGAACAGCGCAUAGAGUAACUGUUAUGCGUGUGACGGUAUCUAACCAGAAAGCCACGGCUAACUACGUGCCAGCAGCCGCGGUAAUACGUAGGUGGCAAGCGUUGUCCGGAUUUAUUGGGCGUAAAGCGAGCGCAGGCGGUCAAUUAAGUCUGAUGUGAAAGCCCCCGGCUCAACCGGGGAGGGUCAUUGGAAACUGGUUGACUUGAGUGCAGAAGAGGAGAGUGGAAUUCCAUGUGUAGCGGUGAAAUGCGUAGAUAUAUGGAGGAACACCAGUGGCCAAGGCGACUCUCUGGUCUGUAACUGACGCUGAGGUUCGAAAGCGUGGGUAGCAAACAGG
rnacentral:rRNA from 1 species